GUGAAGCGGCAACAGCUCAAAUUUGAAAUCUGGAGUUUUUAACUUCCGAGUUGUAAUUUGAAGAGGAUGCUUCGGUUAUGACCCCGGCCUAAGUUCCUUGGAACAGGACGUCGCAGAGGGUGAGAAUCCCGUACGCGGCUGGCGGUUUAUUUCCAUGUGUAGCUCCUUCGAAGAGUCGAGUUGUUUGGGAAUGCAGCUCUAAAUGGGUGGUAAAUUUCAUCUAAAGCUAAAUACUGGCGAGAGACCGAUAGCGCACAAGUAGAGUGAUCGAAAGAUGAAAAGCACUUUGAAAAGAGAGUUAAACAGUACGUGAAAUUGUUGAAAGGGAAGCGCUUGCAAUCAGACUUGCUUGCGGUUGAUCAACGUUCCUUUUGGUUCGUGCACUCUGCCGUUUGCAGGCCAGCAUCGGUUAGGACGGUGGGACAAAGGCUCCGGGAAUGUGGCUCCCUUCGGGGAGUGUUAUAGCCCGGUGCGUAAUGCCACCUGACCUGAUCGAGGACCGCGCUUCGUGCUAGGAUGCUGGCUUAAUGGUUGUAAGCGACCCGUCUUGAAACACGGACCAAGGAGUCUAACAUCUAUGCGAGUGUUUGGGUGUCAAACCCAUACGCGUAAUGAAAGUGAACGGAGGUGGGAGUCUUCGGAUGCACCAUCGACCGAUCCUGAUGUUCUCGGAUGGAUUUGAGUAGGAGCAUAGCUGUUGGGACCCGAAAGAUGGUGAACUAUGCCUGAAUAGGGUGAAGCCAGAGGAAACUCUGGUGGAGGCUCGCAGCGGUUCUGACGUGCAAAUCGAUCGUCAAAUUUGGGUAUAGGGGCGAAAGACUAAUCGAA
rnacentral:rRNA from 1 species